UAUGGGGGGGGCAAGCGUUGUUCGGAAUUACUGGGCGUAAAGGGCUCGUAGGCGGCCAACUAAGUCAGACGUGAAAUCCCUCGGCUUAACCGGGGAACUGCAUCUGAUACUGGAUGGCUUGAGAUUGGGAGAGGGAUGCGGAAUUCCAGGUGUAGCGGUGAAAUGCGUAGAUAUCUGGAGGAACACCGGUGGCGAAGGCGGCAUCCUGGACCAACACUGACGCUGAGGAGCGAAAGCCAGGGGAGCAAACGGG
rnacentral:rRNA from 1 species